UGUUAAGUUAGUGGCGGACGGGUGAGUAACGCGUGGGUAACCUGCCGUAUACCGGGGGAUAACACCUGGAAACAGGUGCUAAUACCGCAUAAGCGCACGGGACCGCAUGGUCCAGUGUGAAAAACCGAGGUGGUAUGCGAUGGACCCGCGUCUGGUUAGCCAGUUGGCAGGGUAACGGCCUACCAAAGCGACGAUCAGUAGCCGGCCUGAGAGGGUGGACGGCCACAUUGGGACUGAGACACGGCCCAAACUCCUACGGGAGGCAGCAG
rnacentral:rRNA from 1 species